rnacentral:lncRNA from 1 species
CUUCAAUCUGUUCAUCUAGAGUCAUAAACUUUGCAUCCAUGUUGUCAAACCUGGUGUCAAUCCUUUGGAAAUUACUAACACAGAGAUCAUGGAGGCUCCUUUGAUUUUCAGCAAAGCUAUCAAGCCUAUUCACCAUGAGUCUUUCAAAAGACGACAUGGUUGGCAUUCUUUCUCCUUGAUGUCCAUCAGCAGCACUAGGUCCUGCAUCUUGAAAAACUUCAGUUGGAUCUUCAUGUUGAACAUCCAUAUCAGCAAGUUCAUCUUGUUCAAGAUUAGCAGCACCACUAGAUGAGGCACCAUGAUCACCAUCCUUGCUUAUCCAUUU